rnacentral:snoRNA from 1 species
UCCAGCAGUUGUCAGCUAUCCAGGCUGUGUGGUGCCCGAGAUCGUGUUACACUGUUGGAAGAGUAAACACUGCCUUACUAAGGGUUGGCUCCCAGCACUGUUUUGGUGUCUGGUGCUGAGUACUUUCAGGCAGUAUUGCAUCCCUGAGAGUGGAAUGACUCCUUGUGGAGUUGGUCCUGGUCUGGGUGCAAACAAU